rnacentral:lncRNA from 1 species
UUUGAAAUUCGAAAUUCAAAUCCUCCUCCAGAGAUAAGGCUGCCAGCUCCAUUUUGGGCAACUCUCCAACGGAUUGAAGAUCGUAGCCAUUCGAUUCUCGAGCGAAGGAUGAGCGAGGCAACAGAUUGAGACACCUGUCGAUUCUCGUACGGAGAGGAGGGUAAAAGAGAGAGGGGAUGCGGGAGAGAGACGCGGUGGGCUUGGAUUUGGGUUUUGCGUUGCUGG